rnacentral:rRNA from 1 species
AACGAACCACACAAACGUUAUUCGGAAUUACUGGGCUUAAAGGGUGCGUAGGCGGCGCGGAAAGUAGGGUGUGAAAUCCCUCGGCUCAACCGAGGAAUUGCGCCCUAAACUACCGUGCUCGAGGGAGAUAGAGGUGAGCGGAACUUAGGGUGGAGCGGUGAAAUGCGUUGAUAUCCUAAGGAACACCGGUGGCGAAAGCGGCUCACUGGAUCUCUUCUGACGCUGAGGCACGAAAGCUAGGGUAGCGAACGGG